GCCCCUAUAGCUUAAUUGGAAAAAGCGGAAGCCUCCGGAGCUUCAGAUCCCCGUUCGAAUCGGGGUAGGGGCG
rnacentral:tRNA from 1 species